rnacentral:piRNA from 1 species
UGCACACAUGCCCCCUACCCUUAACUCC